rnacentral:ncRNA from 1 species
GGACGAACGCUGGCGGCGUGCUUAACACAUGCAAGNNNNNNNNNNCUCUGGUGUACCAGUUGUUCCGCCAGGAGCAUAGCUGGGUAGCUAAGUCGGGAAGGGAUAAACGCUGAAGGCAUCUAAGCGUGAAGCCCACCUCAAGAUAAGAUUUCCCAUAGAGUAAUCUAGUAAGAUCCCUUGAAGAACACAAGGUUGAUAGGUGAGAGGUGUAAGUGUGGUAACAUAUUUAGCUGACUCAUACUAAUAGAUCGA